rnacentral:rRNA from 1 species
UACAGAGGGUGCAAGCGUUGUUCGGAAUUAUUGGGCGUAAAGCGCGUGUAGGCGGCUUUGCAAGUCGGGUGUGAAAGCCCUCGGCUCAACCGAGGAAGUGCGCCCGAAACUGCAGAGCUUGAGUACCGGAGAGGAUGGCGGAAUUCCCCAAGUAGAGGUGAAAUUCGUAGAUAUGGGGAGGAACACCGGUGGCGAAGGCGGCCAUCUGGACGGAUACUGACGCUGAGACGCGAAAGCGUGGGUAGCAAAC